rnacentral:lncRNA from 1 species
AACAGUCGUCAGUGGACAGUGAAGAGAAUGGGAGAAUGGGCAAAGAAACCUUGAAAGCCAAAAGGAAGCCGAGAGAUUGAGCCCAAAGCAAACUGAAGAAAAUGGCGAACUUUUGCUGGAUGCUGAAAUGAUUUGAGAUGAGAACUAAGGUGGAUUGUGAGAGAGGCUUGGAAGACUCUGGUAGCAGUCUUGGGGGAAACUGAGGUCAGAUUAACAAAAAGUAGAAGCUGACCAGAGUGAAGACUUUAGAUGACGGUAAAGCUGGAAUGGAAAGGUACCCUAGAGCAAUGAAUCCUGAGCCACGCUUCUAGGAAUGCCCUCCAGAUAAGCCUAUGAGUUAACUGGCAGGGUGUGUGUGUGUGAUUGGAGUUGGAGAGUAAUUGGCUAAGGAGGUUAUCAUACACAGAGAGGUACUAGAGCAGGCCUCUAGCUAUCUUCUUUAAGGAGUAGCAAAACCAUUAAGUACAGUGGUGCCUCGCAAGACGAAAUUAAUCCGUUCCGUGAGUCUCUUCGUCUUGCGGUUUUUUCGUCUUGUGAAGCACGGCGCUUAGCGGCUAUUAGCGGCUUAGCGGCUUAGCGGCUAUUAACGGCUUAGCGGCUUAGCGGCUUUAAGAAAAAGGAAACAAACUCGCAAGAACUCGCAAGACAUUUCGUCUUGUGAAGCAAGCCCGUAGGGAAAUUCGUCUUGCGGAACGACUCAAAAAACGGAAAACUCUUUCAUCUAGCGAGUUUUUCGUCUUGCGAGGCAUUCGUCUUGCGGGGCACCACUGUACUACUAACGCAUUGUACCUAAUAAUAAACCAAGUUUUCUUUUUCAACUUACCUCCAAGUAAAUAAGUUAUACAGUUAUUAAGCUUUCAUAUACAGUGGUACCUUGGUUCUCAAACGCCUUGGUUCCCAAAUGCCAAAAACCAGGGAGUAAGUGUUCUGGUUUUCGAAUGUUUUUUGGGAGCCGAAUGUCCAAUGCAGUUGUCAACUAUUGUUUCUGGGGCGCCUGCACCAAUCAGAAGUUGCGCCUGGGUUUUCGAACAUUUCGGAAAUCAAACGGACUUCCGGAACGGAUUAAGUUUGGCGCUUUUGUUUUUGCUAUUUAUUUUCCGUUUUUGUUUUUGAGACUUUUUUGGUUAAUUUUGUGUAUGUCUGUGUGGAACCAAGUUCAGCUACUGAUUGAUUGAUUGAUUGAUUGAUGGAUUGACUGAUUGUGUGACUGCGGAAAUGGAUAAAAGCCCCCCCCUCCAAACAAUGACUAUCAUCAGUGCAGGUAAGAAAAAAGAAUAAUUUUAAUUCUUAUCAUUUACACUAUUGUCUUAUUUAUUUUAUAGUACAGUACAUUGAUUAUUGCUUUCAUUUUAUGGAUCAGUGGUCUUGUUAGAUAGUAAAAUUCAUGUUAAAUUGCUGUUUUAGGGGUUGUUCGGCCAUGCAAAGCAGGUGCUUGGCACACGUCGCACCGCCGCUUUUAUACUUUCCCCCACAAUCACCCUUCAAAACGAUUGGGCAAUAGCCCUGGGUGAUUGUGCUGCCACCCCGGCAUAAGGGUGAUAGCUCCACCCACGCCAGGGUGGGGUGGGGGGAGCCAGUUUGAGGGCCUGCCGGCAACCAGGACCAUCUAUUAAGAUGAUCCCAUUUGUGAGAGAGAGGGAGGAGAGGUUCUGUGAGCAACAGAAGCCUUCGGGGUGCCUUAGCACCCAUGGGUGCCACAUUGAAGCAGCUAUGACUAGGGUCACCAAAGUCCUGUGUGUGAUACUAAAAGCAUACAGUGUCCUUUGGUAUCCAAGAGAUCUGUGGAUCAUGGCACAUCUUCAGAACUGGUCAUAUUUCCCUAUGGGAAAAAGCACUUUCAGUGCCAACGUAAGUUUUUUUGCUGCCUGAAGCAGAGCUGAAAUGCUAUUCAUCUAGGGCUAACACUUUGUAUGAUACAGGAAGGUGUUGUUUAUACAGUGGUACCUCGGGUUAAGUACUUAAUUCAUUCCAGACGUCCAUUCUUAACCGGAAACUGUUCUUAACCUGAAGUGCCACUUUAGCUAAUGGGGCCUCCUGCUGCUGCCGCGCCGCCGGAGCACGAUUUCUGUUCUCAUCCUGAAGCAAAGUUCUUAACCCGAGGUACUAUUUCUGGGUUAGCGGAGUCUGUAACCUGAAGCAUAUGUAACCUGAAGCGUAUGUAACCCAAGGUACCACUGUUCACCAGUUCUUGCCUUCACUUGUUCCCCAUGAAACUACCGCCAGAAGCAGGUCUGUCCACUCUUCUGCAUAACAGGACUGACAACAUAUUUAAACAAAAACAGUAGUUGAAACUAAUAUUUUCUGCCAAUCUUUGUACAUAAUCCAGCACAGAAUCAGAACCUAACACUUUGGUUGUAACCAUCUACUUUGUCCUCGCAAACCAAUGGAAGGUAAGUCUAAUGCCAUUUGCAAAAUUCUAAGUAGUCACCAGAACCCAUCCCUAGGGAUCCAGAGAUAGUCACUUAAUCUACCGUGUGUGUGUGUGUGUGUGUGUGUGUAAUGUUCUUAUAUACAGAUGAAAAUGAACACAGGUGCUCUUUGAGGGCAUCAAAUUUUGCAAAUAAUGCUUUCUCCUCCCCAAGAUUUGAAAUAACAAUAGUAUUUUAUAGAACAUUGCAUGUCUUCUGUGCUUCAUGACAGUGUUCUGACACUUAUCACCUUGGACACCAUAUGAAACGUCAGUUUUAUUUUACUGUUGUGACAGACUGAAUGAAUAUCAGUUAUCAGUUGUGUCAAGACAUCCGCUUUGAAAAUCUGGUUGACCGAUCUGUUUAUAUUGUGUCUGAAUUUAAUGAAAAAGAGAGAGGAAGAUUUCCCUCUGGUGGCUAGACUAGGGCAUUGGAGAAACUGAGAAAAGUGGUGAAAAGGCAAAUUUAUUUGGUUUGACUAUUGGCUUGAGGAGCAGAUCACGUUAUUUGGCAAUUUUUAAGACUCAUUGGGCUACACUAACAUUCCAUAACAGCAAUUAUUGUUGUUGUUAUUUAUUGAAUUUAUAUACCACCCUAUACCUGGGGGGCAAAAUAUGGUCUGAAGCUCAACAUCAAAAAAACUAAGAUCAUGGCCACUGGGCCCAUUACCUCCUGGCAAAUAGAAGGGGAAGAAAUGGAGGCAGUGAGAGAUUUUACUUUCUUGGGUUCCAUGUUCACUGCAGAUGGUGACAGCAGUCACAAAAUUAAAAGAUGCCUGCUUCUUGGGAGAAAAGCAAUGACAAACUUAGACAGCAUCUUAAAAAGCAGAGACAUCACCUUGCUGACAAAGGUCCAUAUUGUUAAAGCUAUGGUUUUCCCAGUAGUGAUGUAUGGAAAGUGAGAGCUGGACCAUAAAGAAGGCUGAUUGCUGAAGAAUUGAUGCUUUUGAAUUAUGGUGCUGGAG